rnacentral:rRNA from 1 species
GACGAACGCUGGCGGCGUGCUUAACACAUGCAAGUCGAACGAUGAAGCCGGAGCUUGCUCUGGUGAAUUAGUGGCGAACGGGUGAGUAACACGUGAGUAACCUGCCCUUGACUCUGGGAUAACUGCGGGAAACUGUAGCUAAUACCGGAUACGACCCUCGGAGGCAUCUCCUGGGGGUGGAAAGAAUUUCGGUCAAGGAUGGACUCGCGGCCUAUCAGCUAGUUGGUGAGGUAAAGGCUCACCAAGGCGACGACGGGUAGCCGGCCUGAGAGGGUGACAGGCCACACUGGGACUGGGACACGGCGCAGGCUCCUACGGGAGGCAGCAGUGGGGAAUAUUGCACAAUGGGCGCAAGCCUGAUGCAGCAACGCCGCGUGAGGGAUGACGGCCUUCGGGUUGUAAACCUCUUUUAGCAGGGAAGAAGCGAAAGUGACGGUACCUGCAGAAAAAGCACCGGCUAACUACGUGCCAGCCGCCGCCGUAA